AACCUUUACACUGCACGCGAGUGCGAUAAGGGGACUCCACGUGCGAGGGCAUAUAGUCCUCGCUUUUCUCGACCGUAAGGAGGUCGAGGAAUAAGUGCUGGGCAAGACCGGUGCCAGCCGCCGCGGUAAUACCGGCAGCACGAGUGAUGACCGCUCUUAUUGGGCCUAAAGCGUCCGUAGCUGGCCAGGCAAGUCUAUCGGGAAAUCCGCGCGCUCAACGCGCGGGCGUCCGGUGGAAACUGUGUGGCUUGGGACCGGAAGAUCCAGAGGGUACGUCCGGGGUAGGAGUGAAAUCCCGUAAUCCUGGACGGACCACCGGUGGCGAAAGCGCUCUGGAAAGACGGAUCCGACGGUGAGGGACGAAAGCUCGGGUCACGAACCGGAUUAGAUACCCGGGUAGUCCGAGCCGUAAACGAUGUCUGCUAGGUGUGCCACAGGCUACGAGCCUGUGGUGUGCCGUAGGGAAGCCGUGAAGCAGACCGCCUGGGAAGUACGUCCGCAAGGAUGAAACUUAAAGGAAUUGGCGGGGGAGCACC
rnacentral:rRNA from 1 species